rnacentral:lncRNA from 1 species
AGCCACUGUGAGCAGCUCUUAACAUCCCUUCACCCUCACGGGUUCCGGGCAGGAUUUGUCCCUCGGGGGAGCCAGUACGGCCCGCCCUAGCCCGAGUGGAUUUGGCCCAAUUCCUUCCUCUGGGAAUUAGGUCGCCUCCCCCACUGCUCGAACCCUUGACCUCCCACUUUAAGGGAAUAGUCUGGUGAGAGUGAGUACCAAU